GAUGAAGAACGUAGCGAAAUGCGAUACGUAAUGUGAAUUGCAGAAUUCAGUGAAUCAUCGAAUCUUUGAACGCAUAUUGCGCUCUCUGGUAUUCCGGAGAGCAUGCUUGUUUGAGUAUCAGUAAACACCUCAACUUCCAUAUCUUUUUUGAAAUGGGAGUUGGACUUGAGUGAUCCCUACGCUUUUCCUCACCGAAAAGUGGCGGGUUACUUGAAAUGCACGUGCAGCUGGACUUUUCUCUGAGCUAUAAGCAUAUCUAUUUAGUCUGCCUAAAAAACAGAUUAUUACCUUUGCUGCAGCUAACAUAAAGGAGAUUAGUUCUUGUGCUGACUGAUGCAGGAUUCACAAAGACGGCUUCGGCCGACUUUGUAAACUCGAUCUCAAAUCAAGUAAGACUACCCGCUGAACUUAAGCAUAUCAAUAAGCGGAGGA
rnacentral:misc_RNA from 1 species